rnacentral:rRNA from 1 species
CGCCGAACUGCUCAGUAACACGUAGUUAACCUGCCCUGCGCAGGGAGAUAACCCUGGGAAACUGGGACUAAUAUCCCAUAGUCACGGGAUGCUGGAAGGCACCCGCGACCAAAGCAGCAAUGCGGCACAGGAUGGGACUGCGGCGGAUUAGUUUGUUGUUAGGGUAACUGCCUAACAAGACUAUAAUCCGUACGGGUCGUGAGAGCGAUAGCCCGGAGAUGCACUCUGAGACAUGAGUGCAGGCCCUACGGGGCGCAGCAGGCGCGAAAACUUCGCAAUGGAUGAAAGUCUGACGAGGGAAGCCUGAGUGAUGUCGCAAUGCGGCAUCUUUUCUCAAGUCCAAACAACUUGAGGAAUAAGUGGUGGGUAAGACGGUUGCCAGCCGCCGCGGUAAUAACCGCGCCGCGAGGGGUAGUCACGAUUAUUGGGCCUAAAGCGUCCGUAGCCGGCUUUGUGUGUUUCCGGUGAAAUCCAGCAGCAAACUGUUGGAAUGGCUGGAUAUACUACGAAGCUUGAGACCGGGAGAGGGCAGGGGUACGACACGGGUAAGGGUAAAAUCUUUUAAUCCGUGUUGGACCACCUGUGGCGAAAGCGCCUGCCUGGAACGGGUCUGACGGUGAGGGACGAAAGCGUGGGGAGCAAAUGGGAUUAGAUACCCCAGUAGUCCACGCUGUAACGAUGCCCAUUUGGUGUC